ensembl:lncRNA
CUUCUCACGCUAUGAUGAUGGGAAAGCAGAGCUCCAUUCCAGGGACCUCGACAAUAACAGUGGUUCACUACAGCUCUGAUGACAGAGAACUAGAGAAGCGUGGAGGAACUGGAGUCCAUGGCACGCUAACCUUCAUAAACAACCUAUUUAACUGCUGCUUUUGGUAACUGCUUGUCGUGUGUGUGUGUGUGUGUGUGUGUGUGUGUGUGUGUGUGUGUGUGUGAGAGAGAGAUUCCCUCUACUGCAUUGAAGGGGUACAGAAUGAUUUGUUCAUAGAAGACAUGGUGUGGAGAACCUUUCCCGAGUCCCGACAGCAUCCUGUUAAACUGUAAAGUACAGAGCUUUAUCAGCAUCUCAGGCCCAUCUAACCUGUCACUGAUCAGAACACGAUGACGGCAGGUUAGUGUCAUCUUACUGCAGCUAAUCUACUUCAUCAGUGUAGAUGGUCGACUAGACCAGUAGCUACAGUUCAUAGUGGCUGCCGGCUCAGUCUCCGGGUCAGUCUCGGGCUCAGUCUCCGGGCUCAGUCUCCGGGCUCAGUCUCCGGGCUCAGUCUCCGGGCUCAGUCUCCGGGGUCAGUCUCCGGGUCAGUCUCCGGGUCAGUCUCCGGGUCAGUCUCCGGGUCAGGCUCAGUCUCAGGCUCAGUCUCAGUCUCUGGCUCAGGCUCAGUCUCCGGGUCAGGCUCCGGGUCCGGGUCAGUCUCCGGGUCAGUCUCCGGCUCAGUCUCCGGCUCAGUCUCGGGCUCAGUCUCCGGCUCAGUCUCCGGCUCAGUCUCCGGGCUCAGUCUCGGGCUCAGUCUCGGGCUCAGUCUCCGGGCUCAGUCUCCGGGUCAGUCUCCGGGUCAGUCUCCGGGUCAGUCUCGGGCUCAGUCUCCGGCUCAGUCUCCGGCUCAGUCUCCGGCUCAGUCUCGGUCUCCGGGUCAGUCUCCCCUGUCUGUCAGCCAGGCUUGGAGACCCUCUGUCCUCCAUGUCUCUGGUCUCCUAUGGGGCCCCUGGCCUGCUGCUCCUGGAGCCCCUGGGUGAUGUAGGCCUCCAGCAGCAGCAGCAGAGUGGGUAACAUGCUGUCCAGUAAGGCCAGGCCCUGCCACGAGCACCGCAGACCCCUACACACAAGACAAAAGAGCUUGUCAGGACCCCCAGGGGUGCACGUUUUGGCCCCUACCACCUCACAGCUGGUUCAAAUAGACUCGGAGAUACAGACACGGAGAUACAACUACUGGGCCCACUUUAAACAAACUACAAGUUAUAAGGCUUAGAAGACCUA